rnacentral:rRNA from 1 species
CCUACGGGAGGCAGCAGUGGGGAAUAUUGCACAAUGGGCGGAAGCCUGAUGCAGCGACGCCGCGUGAGGGAUGAAGGCCUUCGGGUUGUAAACCUCUUUCAGCAGGGACGAAGCGUGAGUGACGGUACCUGCAGAAGAAGCACCGGCUAACUACGUGCCAGCAGCCGCGGUAAUACGUAGGGUGCGAGCGUUGUCCGGAAUUACUGGGCGUAAAGAGUUCGUAGGCGGUUUGUCGCGUCGUUUGUGAAAACCCGGGGCUCAACUUCGGGCUUGCAGGCGAUACGGGCAGACUUGAGUGUUUCAGGGGAGACUGGAAUUCCUGGUGUAGCGGUGAAAUGCGCAGAUAUCAGGAGGAACACCGGUGGCGAAGGCGGGUCUCUGGGAAACAACUGACGCUGAGGAACGAAAGCGUGGGUAGCAAACAGGAUUAGAUACCCUGGUAGUCCACGCCGUAAACGGUGGGCGCUAGGUGUGGGUUCCUUCCACGGGAUCUGUGCCGUAGCUAACGCAUUAAGCGCCCCGCCUGGGGAGUACGGCCGCAAGGCUAAAACUCAAAGGAAUUGACGG